UACGGAGGGUGCAAACGUUGCUCGGAAUCAUUGGGCGUAAAGCGCACGUAGGCGGCUUUCUAAGUCAGGGGUGAAAUCCUGGAGCUCAACUCCAGAACUGCCUUUGAUACUGCAAAUCUCGAGUCCGAUAGAGGUGGGUGGAAUUCCUAGUGUAGAGGUGAAAUUCGUAGAUAUUAGGAAGAACACCGGUGGCGAAGGCGGCCCACUGGAUCGGUACUGACGCUGAGGUGCGAAAGCGUGGGGAGCAAACAGG
rnacentral:rRNA from 1 species